rnacentral:rRNA from 1 species
AGUUAAGUGAAUAAGGGCGCACGGUGGAUGCCUUGGCACUAGGAGCCGAUGAAGGACGGGACUAACUCCGAUAUGCCUCGGGUAGUUGUAAGUAAACGUUGAUCCGAGGAUUUCCGAAUGGGGAAACCCACUGUCCGUAAUGGGACAGUACGUAUAUCUGAAUACAUAGGAUAUACGAGGCAGACCUGGGGAACUGAAACAUCUCAGUACCCAGAGGAACAGAAAGCAAAUGCGAUUUCCCAAGUAGCGGCGAGCGAAACGGAAACAGCCCAAACCAGUAAGCUUGCUUACUGGGGUUGUAGGACAUUCCAUAUGGAGUUACAAAGAAACUCUUUAGAUGAAUCGAUCUGGAAAGAUCAGCCAUAGAGGGUAACAGCCCUGUAAUCGAAAAAGAGUUUCCUCCGGAGUGUAUCCUGAGUACGGCGGAACACGAGAAAUUCCGUCGGAAUCCGGGAGGACCAUCUCCCAAGGCUAAAUACUACCUAGUGACCGAUAGUGAACCAGUACCGUGAGGGAAAGGUGAAAAGCACCCCGGGAGGGGAGUGAAAUAGAUCCUGAAACCGUGUGCCUACAAGUAGUCGGAGCGCAUUCAUGCGUGACGGCGUACCUUUUGUAGAAUGGACCGGCGAGUUACGAUUACAUGCAAGGUUAAGUGGAAGACACGGAGCCGCAGCGAAAGCGAGUCUGAAUAGGGCGAUUUAGUAUGUGGUCGUAGACCCGAAACCGUGUGAUCUACCCAUGUCCAGGGUGAAGGUCGGGUAACACCGACUGGAGGCCCGAACCCACGUAUGUUGAAAAAUGCGGGGAUGAGGUGUGGGUAGGGGUGAAAUGCCAAUCGAACACGGAGAUAGCUGGUUCUCUCCGAAAUAGCUUUAGGGCUAGCCUCAAAAAAAGAGUACUGGAGGUAGAGCACUGAUUGGACUAGGGGCCCUCAUCGGGUUACCGAAUUCAGUCAAACUCCGAAUGCCAGAUACUUAUUUUUGGGAGUCAGACUGUGGGUGAUAAGAUUCAUAGUCGAGAGGGAAACAGCCCAGACCGCCAGCUAAGGUCCCAAAGUAUACGUUAAGUGGAAAAGGAUGUGGAGUUGCCCAGACAACCAGGAUGUUGGCUUAGAAGCAGCCACCAUUUAAAGAGUGCGUAAUAGCUCACUGGUCGAGUGACUCUGCGCCGAAAAUGUACCGGGGCUAAACGUAUCACCGAAGCUGCGGAUUGUUCUUACGAACAAUGGUAGGAGAGCGUUCUAAGUGCUGCGAAGUCAGACCGUGAGGACUGGUGGAGCGCUUAGAAGUGAGAAUGCCGGUAUGAGUAGCGAAAAAAGAGUGAGAAUCUCUUUCACCGAAUGCCUAAGGUUUCCUGAGGAAGGCUCGUCCUCUCAGGGUUAGUCGGGACCUAAGCCGAGGCCGAAAGGCGUAGGCGAUGGACAACAGGUUGAUAUUCCUGUACCACCUCAUGAUCGUUAUGAGCGAUGGGGG